UACGUAGGGUGCGAGCGUUAAUCGGAAUUACUGGGCGUAAAGCGCGCGUAGGUGGUUCGUUAAGUUGGAUGUGGAAUCCCCGGGCUCAACCUGGGAACUGCAUUCAAAACUGUCGAGCUAGAGUAUGGUAGAGGGUGGUGGAAUUUCCUGUGUAGCGGUGAAAUGCGUAGAUAUAGGAAGGAACACCAGUGGCGAAGGCGACCACCUGGACUGAUACUGACACUGAGGUGCGAAAGCGUGGGGAGCAAACAGG
rnacentral:rRNA from 1 species